AAUUCUCCACUGUAUACACUAGUUCACUCAAUCUCUUCUAUGCUCCACAAUGCGGCAUCUCAUUUCGGACGAUUCCUCUCCAGUUUCACGAUUACCCACUGCACUCAACUUUACAAGCGUAAAACUGUCACUCGACGUAGGCGCCAUCUUGCAUUCCCGAGUAUCACUACGCUUCUCGAACGAUCUCUUUACCGUAGACGUACAUUUUUAAAUUAGCCUGGCUCGAAGUCUUUACCGUGACAGCUGUUACUCGCUAAUUAAGUUUACACGUCGUUAACGAACGGAAUAGGUAAAUGAGUGCUGUACUGCAAUGGAUUCUAUAAUAAUCAGAACAGAAACUUGGACACAACACUGGGAAUCGUGACGUAACCUUAUUCGAUCCUUGAAGAAAACGUACGUACCAAGUUGUAGUCGUAUGUACAAUAAUAUAGAGCCGUAUCGCAAGAGAAUACACGAAUCGACCUGGAGGCCACACAUCGCGUUAAGGUUAUGCCAGGUUACGAGCUUCCGUAAUGUUCCUCAGGGCCGGUUUUCAAAGCGUCGCUGACUACCAUGCUACUAGUACCAGGUAGACUCCGUGCUAGUCUAAUCCGCUCUCUUGGGCACGAUGCCCAUCAUCAUCUACCACCCUCAGGGAUAAUCCUCCUAUGGAAUUUAAUCCGUGCGUCUACCGAUGCUUGUGCACCCAUUGCAGACAUGACUAUUUGAACUUCUGGAUAAACUCAAAACUCUUGAAAUACCAGAAAGAACGCAGGUGUAUCUUAAUACCCGUUAUACCAGAUUCCACAGAAUUACAAAAUUCGUAUAUAAAAUGAGUGUAAACGUCAUUAAAACUAAUGACUUCCUCAGACUCAGUAACCAGUCAUCCAAACGAUCUUAUAAUAUAUAUCCCACAUGAUAUCUGGGAAUCCUACUGCGCAGUAUCACGCGUAACUACAAUUAUUAGCCCAAAACUGGGCUAGGGGAACGGCAUUGAAAUUUAUGUAGCAGCGGGUCUCAUGUGAAUCGAGCGUAAAGAACGUUUCUUGGCUGUGAACCCAUGUGCCCCAGCAGCUUUAUGUACUUCGGUAGAGUGGGCGUGAGGUGCAUUAUGGGAAUUUAUGAACUAAGCUUAAGGCGCUAGCGAUUGGUACGAUUCGUGUGACGUUAAUGGAGUACCAAUGAAUAUACGUGCAUAUGAGCAAUGCUCAUUGAGCACAUAUACGUAUUAACGUUGCGGUUAAAAUAGCAGCCAAUGUAAAUGUACGCGUGCCAAUUACUUCGAAAUGGUCCGAAAAUUGACAAUGGCGCCACAGCCCUCAAAGAGCCCCUAAUUCUAUGGUGGAUUCAGUGUGUAUGCGCACAACUGUCUGUAUGUGGAUGGUGCAAUCCUUUUAAGUGUCGAGUGUCAGUUUCGCACAGAUGUUCUUCGGGCCAUAGGAACCGAGAAAUGCCGGUCUGGUUGGAUGUCAUGCCCAUUCAGCAGGGCCGCACUAACAGGGGGCCUUACGGGUGCGCAUGAAAAGAACCGAAGAAAAUGUAAGCUCGAGCCAAAUGUAUACGCAGCGACAAAGUGUGAAUGAGAGAAAUGGAAACAUUUGUAGUGGGAGUUGGUGAGUAUAUUUUUAAGUAGGGCAUAAGGCCCUAAGUCCAUUCUGCUCGAGGGAUCGAAAAUGCUUGAGCGUUCAAUUGAUUCGGUGCGCAUGCGCGCUAGGAGGAGGAGGGACACGUGCGCGAUUGCUCACACCUGGACUUCCGGUCGGACAUCUGGAUGGGUUCUGAUGAAGCAAUGGAGUCACGGAGCGAAAUUUUAUACACGAUUCAGCAAUUGCAUCGGUCAGACGUUACAUGCAGCCACGUUGCGACAAAGUGAAAACAAUCCAUAUCCAUUACAAAAUGUCUGAGCUAGCAGCUGACCAAAGAGUCAAAACUGCAGACUGUCAAUCCUUUCAGCUGGACCAGGAUUUCGAUGACCGGAAUGAUCCUAGGGACAUUUUGAUUUUCUACACACGAAUGUACACACAGGUAUAUAGGAGACAGAAUGAGUCAGCCUAUUGAUACAUUCACGCAUGGACCAAUAACAUGGAUGCCAAUCUAUAACCGAAUAUUACUAUAGAUAUAUAAUGUGUGUAAGGCCCAUUUCGAUCUGGAUCGAUGAUCUAGAUCACCCUGCAUAGUUAAUAACCAAUCUGAUCCAAGGUGGCUUCCUCAUCUUAUUUAGUACUUUACAUGGUCAUUGAGGUCAAUAUAAAGUUAUUAACCUGUACAAAGAGAAACUUCCCGUUUCUAUUCUGUCAUCUGAUGAUUUUAUUCAUGUAAUUUUUUUUUUUUAAAAUCAUUCUUUAAUCAGAUCCUGAAA